rnacentral:rRNA from 1 species
GACGAACGCUGGCGGCGUGCUUAACACAUGCAAGUCGAACGGUAAGGCCCUGCUUUUGUGGGGUGCUCGAGUGGCGAACGGGUGAGUAACACGUGAGUAACCUGCCCUUGACUUUGGGAUAACUUCAGGAAACUGGGGCUAAUACCGGAUAGGAGCUCCUGCUGCAUGGUGGGGGUUGGAAAGUUUCGGCGGUUGGGGAUGGACUCGCGGCUUAUCAGCUUGUUGGUGGGGUAGUGGCUUACCAAGGCUUUGACGGGUAGCCGGCCUGAGAGGGUGACCGGCCGGAUUGGGUCUGAGAGACGGCCGGGACACCUACGGGAGGCAGGAGUGGGGAAUGUUGCACAAGGGGCGGGAGCCUGAUGCAGCAACGCCGCGUGCGGGAUGACUGCCGUCGGUUGGGAUGCCGCUUUCGCCUGUGACGAAGCGUGAGGGACGGUAAUGGGUAAAGAAGCACCGGCUAACUACGUG